rnacentral:tRNA from 1 species
GGCCCCAUCGUCUAGUGGUUAGGACAGCGGGUUUUCAUCCCGCUAACUCGGGUUCGAUUCCCGAUGGGGUCA